GAAACAGUCACAGCUGAAAACGACGAUGGUGACACUUCACUGAGCCAUUGCUAUACGGGUGAGAGCGUCGACAUGUUAGUCGAUCUAGGAGCAGAUCCUUGUCACAGAAAUAAAGUGAAACGUACACCUCUUCACGCAGCUGCUACUGACCCAGACAGAAAAGAAGCAGCACACAAGCUUGUUUCAAGAGGUGCAGAAGUUGAUGCCAAAAGAUGAGGCAGGCAAGACACCGCUACAUGUGGCAGUUUCGAUGAACAACACACAAGGGGUUGACUUACUCACGAAUGAAGCUGGGGCAGAUGUGAAUGCACGAGACAACGAAGGAAGAUCCCCACUUCUAGUUGCACUUGAUUGUAACUUUGAGACUCUGUCGGAGAGUCUACUUCGAAAGAGAGCAGACGCUAAUGCCUCGGAUGUCAGAGGAUUGACUGCGCUUCAUUACGCUUCAAAAAACGGUUAUGACAAACUUUUAAAAAUGUUGUUGGAUGCCGGAGUGGUCGUUAAUGCUCUUGACAUAGAAGGAAAAACACCUCUACAUUACGCAGCCAUUAGUAAUCCUCAUCUAGCCAAAUUGCUCGUUGAAAACGGUGCGGACAUGUAUAUACGUGAUGCACGAGGAGACACUGCUCUAGGCUUGUCUCGCAAGAGCGGCCAUCCUCUAAAGCCUCUAACAAGACAAGAGAUAGAAAUACUUGAUUUUACAGAAGCGUCGAAAGAGGAGCUUUCUGUACCACCAGGUCCAAUGUGUCCAUCAAAGUGUUUUGCCGAUGGACCAGGUUUGAAAGGAGGACAUGUGAAUACGAGGUACAGCUUUAGUGUGUUUACUUGUGACGAGAAUGAAAAAAUUCAAAUUGUCGGAGGAGCUUCUUUGGUUAUUCGAAUCGUUCUAGCUGACACCACGGCAAACAUCACAGCCAUUCCUGGGCAAAGAGACGACAAACGCCUGAUGGUAACAGAUAACGACGAUGGAACGUAUUCUGUCGCUUUCGAAUUGUCAGACGCUGGUUCACACCAAUUUUACAUUUCAAUUGGAGAAGAGUCAGUUCGUGGAAGUCCUUAUGUUAUAUCUCUGGCACAAUCUGUUGCUCCUCCACCACCUAUUAUCAGCGCCACAUGCUAUGAGCCUGCAAAUUAUCCUGAUGAGCAAAUAUCUUUUGCAAAAAAGGAAGGAAUCGGACAAGUUGAUGUUGCUAUUGUUUGUGACACUACUGCAAGCAUGACACUCGAAAUCCAGACUGCUCAAAAGCUGAUGCAAGAUCUCAUAGAUUCUGUUAAUAGUGAAAGUCUUUGCAGCGACUUGAGAAUAGCUGUUGUUGCGUACAGAGAUCACAAACUGGAAAUAACCGCCUACGUGACUAAGAUAAUGACAAUCCAGAAGCCGUUACAGACGCGCUAAAAGAAAUCGUCGAUCUCAAUUGGGAUGAAACUCAGAGGCCUCACGCCGUUCGAAUGGCCGUCUUGAUAGGAGACGCUCCUCCGCAUGGUAUGACUGGCAACUCAUUGAUUGACGAUUUCCCGAAGGGUUGCCCAUGCGGUCAUGAUUGGCUCAUGCUAGCAGACAAAUGUCGCGUCAAGAAGAUCAACGUCUACGCAGUUUUGUGCCGAGAUGAUCGGUCGGCUGCGCAAGCCUUCAGUGCAAUAGCACAAUCCUCGGGCGGAAAAAUUGCUAAAAUUCAACAUAAUAGCGACAACGCCGAAAUCAUAAAUUUAAUUAAACUGCACGUUCAAGAACAAUUGGACCAACAGCUCACCAACAGUACAGUAUCAGACGUUAUUAUUACUAAUACAAUGGAGGAACCCAUGUUUGAACAGCGUCUUGGACGCGUCAUAGAUGAACUGUCUCCUCAAGGCUUUACAGUCCGAAGAUUGCAAACCGCAGAAGGCAUGGCCACUAUUGAAAUCAGGUCUGCCGUUGAGGAAGACGUCCACAAGGCGUUAGAAGACUUUAAGUCAUGUGAGCGCCUUGCCAACAUCAAACGAGAUCUAGUCCUGAUGGAUCACAUGGGGAAAAAGGUUUAUGCUUUGCACAAAAUUCAAGGAAAUCUUCCUUCUGCUGGCGAAAGUUAGUUGCUUGAGCAAAUUGGACUGAUAGAAUAACAUGCAUGCAAUUGUUCUGCUAGUGUUUGCUAAAGCUGUCAGUGGGUAGCUAAAGUGUGUAUGUAACCCUGUUUGUGUUAGCUGAGCUGUGCGAAACUGUCAAUUUUGACGUUGAGUCGCUGGAUAUUUUAUUCUAUUACAAGAGACUAGCUGA